CAUAUGAUUUUAUUUUUUUCUGUAGGACAAACUUAAUUUUUGUUUAUCUUUUAAUUUUUCUAAUAAUAUUUAAUUACGUUAUUUACGAUAUUUAAGAUACUUGUGUAAUAUCAAAAAUUAGACGUGAGAAAAUAGUGUAACACUUAAAAUAUUAUGAAAAUAAAUAUUAUAAAAUAAAUAUUAUAAAAAUGACAAUUGAUUGAUAUUCUCUACUCAAAUUGAAUACUUCUUAUCGUGUGUAUUUUAUCUUAUUCACAUUUGAGUGCAAGAUAAUUAAUGCUUCAAUUAAGGCACUAAUACUUCAUAUCUUACAAUUUUUUUACACAGUUUUACAUAUUUGAUUAUUUCCAAGUCACACUUUUAAACUCAUAUCGAGAGACAUUGAUGAGAAUUAUAUAUUUUUAAAAAAUUUAUUAAUAAAAAAAUUUUAAGCAUUUUUUGCAUAAAUAAAAGGUGGAUCGAAGUUUUUUGUUUUUAGGUUGAUUGCGCUCUGUUGCAUAUACAGAAACAAAUAAUACACAAAAUGUCCAAAGUUACAGAUACUAACGAAGGCGUUGUCUGUGGAAUUAUAAUUGCCAAUUGAUUUGAAAGACGUCUUGAAUAGCAAACAUCUUCUGAUAAAAAUUGUCUUUAUCCUUAAUACUUUUUUUUUUUAAUUUCAACGAUCGUUAUCUCAAUGGCAAAUUUUACUUUUUAAAAAGUUUGUGUUAAAACAAGACAUAAAACUAAAUGAAGGAUCUGAUAAUGCAAAUAGCAAUGUAAAUAUGUUAUGCAAUAUGAACUGAUACUUAUUAUUAUUAUUAUUAUUAUUAUUAUUAUUAUUAUUAUUAUUAUUAUUAUUAUUAUUAUUAUUAUUUAGAGAAAAGUUAUUAAAACUUGAAUAGUGUAUAUGCACAUUCUCAUAUUAAACGGUACAUUAUUAAUUUGUCGACAAUGUUAAGU